AUUGACCGCUGUCGGCCUGCUUUACACAUGCCAGUCGGACGGCAGCACCAAGAAGCUUGCUUUUUGGGUGCCGCGUGGCGAAUGGGCGAGUCAUAUAUCGCAACGUACCGAGUACUGGGGGAUAACUACUCGCACGAUUAGCUAAUACCGCAUAUUCUCUGAGGAGGAAAGCACGGGACCUUCGGGCCUUGCGUUAUUCGAGCGGCCGAUAUCUGAUUUGCUAGUUGGUGGGGUAAAGGCCUACCAAGGCGACGAUCAGUAGCGGGUCUGCGAGGAUGAUCCACCACACUAGCACUGAGACACGGCCCAGACUCCGACGGGAGGCAGCAGUCUGGAAUUUGUGACAAUGAGCGCAAGCCUGAUCCAGCCAUGCCGCUUGUCUGAAGAAGGCGUUCGGGUUGGAAAGGAGUUUUGUCAGGGGAGAAAAGGCUGUUGCGAAUAUGUACAGCUGAUGAGGGUACCUGAUGAAUAAGCCACGGCUAACUACGGG
rnacentral:rRNA from 1 species